rnacentral:misc_RNA from 1 species
CCAAAGAAUUUUCUUAUGAACCAAGCUUUAGUGUGCCAUCGAAAGAUUGCAACACAGAUCAAGACUUCAUUGUCAACCCAAAAUUAAAACCAUGACAGUAGCAUUGGGAAAUGUAAUUCAAUUAACCAACAUACUGUCGGUAUCUAAGCAAAUUCUUCAAAAAGGUUGGCAAAGAGCUACUUUAUCUCACAUCAAGAAAAUUCUUUGGUAUGAAACUCAUCAUGUUUACCAUAAACGUUCUUGUACAAUGGCACAUAAAUAUCACCCUUGUAUCUCUUUUCCACGUCCACAAUCAGAGUUUGUUGGUCAAUAAAUGUUGUGAAGCAAUGAAGACCUUGGUAGAUGCCAGAAUCAUAGCUGCUAGUUUGGAUCUGGAGAUUCAACAAGGCAUUCAUCUUCGAUUUCCCUUCCUAUUCCCUUGACUAUCAGGAGAUUUCUGGUUCAUCUUGCCUUCCAGCUUCCUAGCUGUUCGUUGAAUAGCUGCUAGCCUCUGGCGCUGGCUAUAACUUUUCCUUUUGCUCAAAAACAACAACCCCGCAGUAAGAACCAUCCCUCCCACUGCCCAAGAAACUUUUUCACUGAAAGGCAUUUCCUGCAUCCACUGCUGGAAAUCUUUUAAAACCCCCAAGUUCCCAGCUUUCGGGGGCAAGUCAGAAUGUGAAGCCCUCCACGACUCAGCAAUAGAAUCAAGACUGGCUCUACCACCAUAGCAAGAUGCCUCUUCUGUACCAAUGUAUGCAUCUUCUGAUGGUUUAACGGCAAAACCAGCAGAAAGGCAGAGCUCUGUGCCAUUGGAGACCCAUUCAGCAGCUUUACCGCAAACAAAGUCAUUUACUCCACAUGGUGCUAGAACCUGUGUUUUCACAUCCAUGGAGAAGUAAGCAUUAGCGCAAGCUUGAUAGACUCUCCCACAAAAAGAAGAGCAUAUAAGAGGAAUUCCAGGCUGAACACCAAUCUGGGGAUCACAGAUGGAACAUUCCAGUAAUUCCCAUAAUUGCAAACAUUCUUGGCUUGCCUCCCCAGUUGAAGCCAGUCUCCUAACAGACAGCAAAGCAGGAUACGUCUGACCUACAUCACAGCAAGUCUUUCUGCGAAACACCCUGCAAAGGGUCAAAUCUUUGGAACCCUUACUUACCUUCUUUGGAGGUUUCCCUUCAGAUGAAAAUGGUGGAAAUCGACCACCUUUGGAAAUACACACUCCGUCAUGUAUUCCAAAGGAAAAAGAGACAUGCAAAUGAAGAAGGAGCAGAAGAAUCAAAAACCCAUAAUCCCUUCUCUUCAUUUUUAGUAUUUUCUUGACCUUCUUCUUGUUGGAAACCCCAU